rnacentral:rRNA from 1 species
GAUGAACGCUGGCGGCGUGCCUAAUACAUGCAAGUCGAGCGAACAGACGAGGAGCUUGCUCCUCUGACGUUAGCGGCGGACGGGUGAGUAACACGUGGAUAACCUACCUAUAAGACUGGGAUAACUGCGGGAAUCCGGAGCUAAUACCGGAUAAUAUAUUGAACCGUAUGGUUCAAUAGUGAAAGACGGCUUUGCUUUCACUUAUUGAUGGAUCCUCGCCUCAUUAGCUAGUUGGUAAGGUAACGGCUUACCAAGGCAACGAUGCGUAGCCGACCUGAGAGGGUGAUCGGCCACACUGGAACUGAGACACGGUCCAGACUCCUACGGGAGGCAGCAGUAGGGAAUCUUGCGCAAUGGGCGAAAGCCUGACGGAGCAACGCCGCGUGAGUGAUGAAGGUCUUCGGAUCGUAAAACUCUGUUAGUAGGGAAGAACAAAUGUGUAAGUAACUAUGCAAGUAUUGACGGUACCUAAUCAGAAAGCGACGGCUAACUACGUG